GGUGCCUUGAGCCAUCCUAGGAGGCAUCCCAAGUAACAACAUUAAGAACGUAUAAAUGUUUGAACUGUGCAGACUUCUUGUUGUGAGAAAAAAAGCCUGCAGCCAAUGAGAUAGAAAUGGAGAGAAGGGCAAUAGCAGCUUGCACAUGUCAAGGAUCUGCAGCGCAUGAAACCCCUUAAACUGAAGAUGAUGUUCCUGAAGCCUAGAGAUGUCAGCAC